rnacentral:ncRNA from 1 species
GGUAGUAGCAAAUAUUCAAAUGAAAAUUUUGAAAAACGAAGAGCGAACAUGUUCCAUAUGAACGGCACUUGCACAUUAUUGGGAAAGAAAACAAUAUUUGCACAUUGUUAAGUUGAUCAUAAGGAUUAGGAAAACCCCGACAUAUAGUGCAUAUCACGUGUACUCCAAAAGGGAAUCACGUUAAAAUUCCUAAAUCGAAAUGUGGAAGUUGACGACAAUAUUAGAAAGUCGGUAGAAAUCAAUGGGAGCUGCGGAAAGAAUUAUAUUUUCUAUUUAACAAUCUUCCUACAGUACAAACGACUCAACUGAACACACACUCCAGAUGUGGAAAGAACACCAUACGUUGAGUGGUGUCCGAUGCACUCUUGGUGGCCUUUAAAAAUCUAGAAGAUUGAAUGUUGUACACACAAUCGUAUUCCUAAUUGCAUUAGGGUCAUCCAAAGUGAACAACUUCUGGUU